rnacentral:piRNA from 1 species
CACAUCGCUGAGGCCCACUGGCAGG